UUGCACAGCGAACACCCAGGGAAGCUAGUGUGGCUCUCUCUGGAUUUGUGUCUGUGCUACAGUGACUCUGGUCUUUUCCUCUACAUAGGAGAGUUCAGUUUCUCCUACAUGUAUUCAGUUGAUCAGCACAAAC